rnacentral:misc_RNA from 1 species
UUUUAGCCCUGAUUGAACGGUUUGUUUGAGCUCUUUUCGUUAUUUUUUUGGCGGCGGCUUUGCCACCGCCAAAAAAAAUAACGAAAAAGCGAGUAGUGAAAGCAGGAAAGAGC